GAUGAAGAACGCAGCGAAGUGCGAUAAGUAAUGUGAAUUGCAGAAUUCCGUGAAUCAUCGAAUCUUUGAACGCAAAUUGCACUCUCUGGCAACCCGGAGAGUAUGCCUGUUUGAGGGUCAGUGUUAAUAAAAAAUCGGGUGCGUUGCAAUUUUUGUGACGUUUCCGGAGUUUGAGUUAUCUUAACUUCGGUUUUAAGAGGCUUAAAAUUGACCUUUUUUUGUGCAUUUUAGACGUACAUAAAUUUUUUUUUUAUUCGUCCAUCCUAAUGCCAAAAUCUAUUAGAUGCGACCAUAUCUUGUGGUUCCGUGUCUAUAAAUUUUUCAUGAUUUGACCUCAAAUCAGGUAGGAACACCCGCUGAACUUAAGCAUAUCAAUAAGCGGAGGA
rnacentral:misc_RNA from 1 species